AUACUUACCUGGACGGGGUUGACGGCUGAUCAAGAAGGGCUGUGGCCUAGGUUAGUGGUUCACAUUGCACUUGGUGGAUGCGCUGGCUUACCAUCUCCCCAAGCGGGAGAGUGAACGUCAUAAUUUAUGGUAGAGGGGUUACGCGUUCGCGCAGCCUCUGC
rfam:Triticum aestivum genome assembly, contig: Triticum_aestivum_CS42_TGACv1_scaffold_499936_6BL